UGGGCGCGGGAAGGAGCCGAAGCAGCGAGCUGGGCGGGCCAGAGCCGGGGAAGUGGGCGGAGAGUGGGCGAGGGCAGAAGGAAAAGGAAAGAUGUUGGAAGACUGGAAGAUUUUUAUUUCGAUUCUUACAAUCAUUAGCCCUUCGGGGGGUCGGCCCCGGGGUAUCUUGCAGCCUGGAACUCACUUCGACCCCUGGAAUUUAAGCGACGUGCUGGAGCCCAUGUUUCACGUUAGUGCCCCUUUCCUCUGUCCCCACCCCGCCACGUGCGCAGGCAGGGAGGGCGGUCCUCAAGCUUCGAACAAGGUCAAAGACGCUGUUCAGACGGUGCUGCUGUGGGUUUGGAGAGGCGCAGCCCAGUCUGACUCGUGCAUUUUUGCCCCCUACUGUCAACAUAAUUUGUUAGGAUUCCUCAAGACCUCAGACCUAACAGACCCAGCCUGCCCCAUGUGUGGUUCUGUCUUCAUGAGAACGUUUGCUCCCGAAUCGCACGUCCUUGGCACCAAAGAGCAUCGAGUCCAUUUCUCAGAGCUCUACUGUGCUCAUUAAAACACAGUUAUGUAAGUACUUAGCAAAGGUCAGUACUCCACGUAAGCAAUACCGGUAUCUCUGCUGAGAGUUUAGAAGUCCAUUGGGAUCCCAGUGACUACUUUUCACUUGGUGAAAUCAAAGUACAUCAGCUGUAAUAACACUGUUUCUGCCAGCGAGCUGAGAAAAUGAACCAAAAGAAUAACCGGCACCCACGCUCCAGUGUGAGUUGUUCAGAACCAAAGGAUGAGAGUCCCGAGGUUUCCAAACAGUUUCUGAUCUCGGGAGGUAAAGCUUGCAUUUUGCUCGUGCUUUGCAGAUUUGUUUUCAAAAUGAUGUAGCUGUGGAAAACUCACGUGGGUCAAACUAAAAAACUUCAUGUAGUUUAUGGCAUUGGUUUUAAAAUGAAAGAUUUUAAAAAUUAGGCCGAGCACGGGUGGCUCACGCCUGUAAUCCCAGCCCUUUCGGAGGCCAAGGAGGGCGGAUCACUGAAGUCAGGAGUCCGAGAGCAGCCUGGCCAACACGCUGAAACCUCGUCUCUAGUAAACAUAAAACAAUCAGCCGGGCAUGGUGGCAGGCGCCUGCGGCCCAGCUACUCGAAAGGGUGAGGCAGGAGAAUUGCCUGAAGCUGCGAGACACAUUGCAGUGGGCUGAGAUCGCUCCAUUGCACUUCAGCCUCGGCGACAGAGCGAGACUCCAUCAAAAAAAAAAAAAAAAAAAAAAGUGAGACAUACGAGCUAGUAUGAUCUUUAGGUGGCCCACCUGCCUCAGCCUCCCAGAGUGUUGGGAUUACAGGCCGUGAGCCACCACGCCCAGCGGCUCAUACGUUCUUGACCUUGCCCUGACUUGUAUCCAUGAUCAGCUUCAUGGAAGAAUGUUUUAAAAAGCAGCUUUCUUGAAAUAUAAUUCACAUGCCAUAUUUCCCUACUUCAAGUGUACAAUCCAGUGGUUUUUAUAUAUUCAUCACAUUAUCACCCCAAGAAGAAAUUCUGUACCCAUUAGCAGUCACUUCUUUCUAAUUUGUGUUCUGUUUAAAGAUUUGCCUUUUCUGAAAUUUCAUAUAAACGAAGUCAUGAUGUAGUCCUUCGCGACUGGCUUCAUCACUUAGCAUAACGUUUUCAAGGUUCAUGUUGUAGCAUAUAUCAGUACUUAAUUCCUUUUUGUUGUGGAAUAACAUUGCAUUGUACGAAUAUUCUGUAUUUUCUUUAGUCAUCAAUUGAUGAACAUUUGGUUCGUUUCUGCCUUUUGGCUGUUAUAAGUAAUGCUGCUGUGAACGUUCAUUUAAAAGCUUUUGCGUAGAUGUUUUUAAUUCUCUUGAUAUAUAUGCGGGAGCGGAAUUACUGGCAUAUAUGUUAACUCUAUCUUUUGCCGUGUAAGAAACUGCCAGAUGUUUUCCAAGUCCGUUGCACCAUCUUACAUUUCCACUAGCAGUGUAUGAGGGUUCUGAUUUCUCCACAAUCCUGUUAUGUUGUCUUUUUUAGUAUUACCAUCCUUGUGGGUAUGAAGAAGUAUGUCAUGGUGGUGGGUUUUUUUUUUUAAUUUUUUGGUUUUUUUUUUUUUUUUUUUUUUUUGAGACAGAGUUUUGCUCUUGAUGCCCAGUCUGGAGUACAGUGGCUCAAUCUUGGCUCACCACAACCUCCAUCUGCCAGGUUCAAGCAAUUCUCCUGCCUCAGCCUCCUGAGUAGCUGGGACUACAGCCAUGAGCCACUACAUCCGGCUAAUUUUGUAUUUUUAGUAGAUACAGGGUUUCUCCAUGUUGGUCAGGCUGGCCUCGAACUCCUGACCUUAGGUGAUCUGCCUGCCUUGGCCUCCCAAAGUGCUGGGAUUACAGGAGUGAGCCACUGUGCCUGGUGUCAUGGUGGUUUUGAUUUUCUUUUACUCAAUGAUUAAUGAUGUUGAGCAUCUUUUCAUGUGAUUAUUGACCAUUCUAAUAUCUUCUUUGGGGAAAUAUUUAUUCAGAUCUUUUGCCCAUUUUUAUUUAUUUAUUUAUUUAUUGAGACACAGUCUCACACUGUUGCCCAGGCUGGAGUGCCAUGGCACGAUCUCAGCUGACUGCAACCUCCACCUCCUGGGUUCAAGCAAUUCUACUGCCUCAGCCUCCUGAGUAGCUGGGACCACAGGCCCCCACCACCAUUCCCAGAUGAUUUUUGUAUUUUUAAUAGAGACAGGUUUCACCGUGUUGGCCAGGCUGGUCUCAAACUCCUGACCUCAAGUGAUCCACCUACCUCAGCUUCCCAAAGUGUUGGGAUUAUAGGCAUGAGCCACCAAGCCCAGCCUUUUGCCCAUUUUUAAUUUAAAAAAAAGUUUCUUAAAUGAUUGAGGUGUAGAAUUUAUUUAUUCUAGAUACAGGUUCCCUGUCAGAUAGAUAAUUUGCAAAUAAUCUCCCCCAUUCUGUUCUUUCACUUUCUUGGCGGUAUCCUUUGCAGCACAAAAAUGUUUAAUAAAGUCCAACUUAUCUGUUUUUUUCAUUUGUCCCUUGUGCUUUUGUUGUUUUAGCUAAUACACCUUUGAAGAAUUUUUUUUACUGCUAUAAUAACCAUGAAAAAACAGUAUGGAGCAGAUGUUGAGGAAAAAAUGAAGUUUUUAGUUUCAGCUACUAUGGAACAGAAUUGGAGACACCUGGUCACAGCUGAGCAAAUUCUAUGACACUGUGUGUUUGGGACUGUACUAGGUCUUAAUGAGAUGAGCCAAGAAAUAGCAGCAAUGCGCCCUGGAGGAAGAAAACACUGCCAGCUCAAUUUUCUCUUGAAAGGACUAUAAAAUAAGAAGAUACCUGAAAUUCCUGUAAUAAGGGACGAAACGGUGAAGCUCUUGGUUGGAGACUGAGGAUGGAGAUGGGGCCGUUUAGAAUGCUCAGAUUCAAGAGGCAAGCACAAAGGAGAGUUGACGAAGGGUCCUGAGCAGGGACAGCUGGAAAAGCAGGAUUUCUCCUCUGGUUGAGCUGAGAAGAGUAGAACAAACCAAGCCACUAGGACCCACACCAAUGCUUCCGUUUUCCCAAGAGGGCCAAUGGCCAGGGCAAUGGACAAUAAGCUUUUGGAGGGUAGCAGGACUGUGUGUCUGUGGCACCAUCAUACCCUCCGUACCUAACUCCCUACCUGGCAAAUGUCAAUUGCUCAGAAAUUGUUUGCUGUAUGAAGAAUGACUGAAUAAACCACAUGACUUUAUGCUAAAUGUUGGACUAGAACUUUGAGAAAUGUCGUCUCUCCCAGGCAAAGAAAAACUUAUAGAGUAGGAGGGUUAUUCCGUUUGGAAGUGGACA